rnacentral:rRNA from 1 species
GAUGAACGCUGGCGGCGUGCCUAAUACAUGCAAGUCGAGCGAACAGACGAGGAUCUUGCUCCUCUGACGUUAGCGGCGGACGGGUGAGUAACACGUGGAUAACCUACCUAUAUGACUGGGAUAACUUCGGGAAACCGGCGCUAAUACCGGAUAAUAUAUUGAACCGCAUGGUUCAAUAGUGAAAGACGGUUUUGCUGUCACUUAUAGAUGGAUCCGCGCCGCAUGAGCUAGUUGGUAAGGUAACGGCUUACCAAGGCAACGAUGCGUAGCCGACCUGAGAGGGUGAUCGGCCACACUGGAACUGAGACACGGUCCAGACUCCUACGGGAGGCAGCAGUAGGGAAUCUUCCGCAAUGGGCGAAAGCCUGACGGAGCAACGCCGCGUGAGUGAUGAAGGUCUUCGGAUCGUAAAACUCUGUUAUUAGGGAAGAACAAAUGUGUAAGUAACUAUGCACGUCUUGACGGUACCUAAUCAGAAAGCCACGGCUAACUACGUG